rnacentral:rRNA from 1 species
UACGUAGGGUGCGAGCGUUAAUCGGAAUUACUGGGCGUAAAGCGUGCGUAGGUGGUGAGUUAAGUCUGUCGUGAAAGCCCCGGGCUCAACCUGGGAAUUGCGAUGGAGACUGCAAGGCUUGAAUCUGGCAGAGGGGGGUAGAAUUCCACGUGUAGCAGUGAAAUGCGUAGAGAUGUGGAGGAACACCGAUGGCGAAGGCAGCCCCCCUGGGUCAAGAUUGACGCUCAUGCACGAAAGCGUGGGGAGCAAACAGG